GGGAAUCUUUCAAGAUGCUGACUAGUCGUAAAGUAUUUUUUUUUAAUCUUUGAGUCUUUGAGUCUUUGAGUCUUUGAGCCAUGGGAAACCCUAACCCCCUGCCCCAGAGGAACGCUUCCUCUUCCGGUGUGUCUCCUUCGAGAGAACUUUCCUUCAAAAACUACAACAAAGAAGGGAAUCAAAAUUUCAAAGAUUCACAGAUUAAAAGCGAUUCAUGUUCAUGUGUUCUAAGAAGAAAUAAGUCUGGUAAAGUGGUUUUCAACGGUGGAGCUGGCCAAAUAUUCGAAAAUUCAAUUAUAAACGGCGUAAAAGUGAAAUCGGAGACCACAUCAUCUUCUGAAUCAAAGACCACAGGCGGUGAGAUCUAUUGCACAACUUGUAGAUCCUUCAUGAACCUUGGAACUGGAUCCCAGAAUUUCCAAGGUUUCGUGUUGAAUAACGGUUCAAACUAAGGUAACCUAACAGUGAGGUUUUGUUUGGUUUAAACAGUGGUGGGGGAGCAGGUCGCAAGAGGGCCAGAUUGGUACUGGCAAGCCAAUAAGAUGUGCUGUCUGUGUUUUGUGUUUGGUGUUUGUUUGUGUUAAGUUUUACAGUGGAGUUUAACGACCUAGGCCUCCCUCAUGGAUAUUUGUGUGUCUUGUUAUGCCUUUCCUUUUUAUCAACAACUCAUAUCUCCUACAACUUUUAUGCUCUAAAUAACACCAUGAGUGUUGGAAUGUGAUCUACUUCGAUUUCCUUUUA